rnacentral:rRNA from 1 species
GCGCACCAGGCGAGAAACCUCCGCAAUACACGAAAGUGUGACGGGGCCAUCCCGAGUGCCGUCCGCUGAGGACGGCUUUUCCCCAGUGUACACAGCUGGGGGAAUAAGGAGAGGGCAAGCCUGGUGUCAGCCGCCGCGGUAAUACCAGCUCUCCGAGUGGUGGGGACGCUUAUUGGGCCUAAAGCAUCCGUAGCCGGCUGGGCAAGUCCUCCGUUAAAUCCAACGAUUCAAUCGUUGGGCUGCGGGGGAUACUGUCCAGCUUGGGGGCGGGAGAGGCCGACGGUAUUCCCGGGGUAGGGGUGAAAUCCUAUAAUCCCGGGAGGACCACCAGUGGCGAAGGCUGUCGGCUAGAACGCGCCUGACGGUGAGGGAUGAAAGCUGGGGGAGCGAACCGGAUUAGAUACCCCUGUAGU